CCUUCGGCAAACCUGACCAUGACUCCAUUUUGCUCUUACCGUCCUUUCGGCAGAAACUCAAACAGGAUGUACCCGUGACUAGAACUAUUCAACGCUGAUCUGUCCAAUCAUUUUAAGAUUGUUUUGAUCACCUGGACUGGGAAAUAUUCCAGGCAGCCUCAGAGAAUAACAUCGAUUUAUAUGCUGAUUUGCCGACUGCGAGCCAAGCCUAAUCGCCCAACCUCACUAAUGCUCUUGUGGCUGAAUGGAAGCAAGUCCCUGCAGCAAUGUUCCAACAUCUAGCGGAAAGCCUUCCCAGAAGAGUGGAUGCUGUUAUAGCAGUGAAGGGGUGACCAACUCCAUAUUAAUGCCCAUGAUUUUGGAAUCAGAUAUUCAGCAAGCAGGUUUCCACAUACUUUUGGUCAUGUAGUGUAUGUCUGAAUGCCAAGUCAUGUUCAUAUAAUCUCAGACAAAUUACUGCAGUUUAAGACCAUCCAUAGAACAUCCUAUACCAGUGAAACUGAAAAUAUGCUCUCAAAAACGUAGUUCCACUGCUGGAAGUGUAAAAAAAGAAAAGGGGAUACAUUUGCAUAUGCUAUGAUCUUGUGAAGGCUGGCUGAAUUCUGGCAAAGGAUAUGUUCUUUUUUCUCAGCACGUCUACAGAUUCUCCCUUCUCCCUGUUUUUGUUUGCUUGGAAAUGUAGAUACUAGAGACUGUUAUCAGAAGAAACUGUGUAACCUAGCAUUUAUAGUGGCUAAGAAAAGCAUGGCCAUUAAUUGGAAGGUUGGUUAUGCUCCCACAAUAUCACAAUGGAUGGAAGAAAUGUCAAGUUAUGUAUCACUAGAUUUGAUUUAUUACAAGAUUAAGAGUAUACUGUGCAACUUUCUUAAGGUCUGGGUGCGUUAUAUUGAAUAGCCUACUAUAUGACAAAAAGGGACUGUAUUGAAAAACAUUUUUUUGUCGAGCAGUCGCAAAUAAAACAUUUUGUUUCAUGGCUCACGACACACCUGUGUGAUUUGCACAUGUCUCAGUGGACUAAUUCAUUGAGGAGGCUGCGGGGAUGCCACAGUAAAAGAAUAUUGUGAUUGUGGCUCAGAUGAACAAGGCACGUCUCUCUACAGAAUGCGCUCUCUCCCACCAUUUCGUGGGUAUUCAUUGUUUCGUAUUCAUUGUGCGCAUUGUUUGCUGACUAUCAAUCCCCCAUUACAUACAUUUUUACAUUUACAUUACAUUUAAGUCAUUUAGCAGACGCUCUUAUCCAGAGCGACUUACAAAUUGGUGCAUUCACCUUAUGAUAUCCAGUGGAACAACCACUUUACAAUACUUUAUCCUAUCCUAGGUAUUCCUUAAAGAGGUGGGGUUUCAGGUGUCUCCGGAAGGUGGUGAUUGACUCCGCUGUCCUGGCGUACAUCACCAGUAGUAUGACUAGUAGUAGCUUACAUUUACCGUUAAUGCUCAUAAUUUCUAAUCUGCAAUGUUUAUGGUUAUGGUCAUUUCUGUUAAUGCAUUCAAUAUAUUAUUAUUACAGUAAUUUACCGUUGUCAUUGUCAGAGUUUUUGCAGAACUCACAACCUAUGCUACACCUGUGAGAUACAAGUUUUUGUUUGUUUAUUUCAUUCCAUUUACUAGUUGUCAAUUUAUUCAUCAUCUUUUGUUUGAAACGCUCCUGUCAGUGUUAAAACUUCUUUGGGAUCGUUGUACCUUCCACGGGACGGUUGAGCUAACGUAGGCUAAUGCAAUUAGCAUGAGAUUGUAAGUAACAAGAAAAUUUCCCAG
rnacentral:lncRNA from 1 species